rnacentral:tRNA from 2 species
GCCGGAGUGGUGGAAUGGUAGACACGGCAGCCUUAGGAGCUGUUGCUUUCACGAGCGUGCGGGUUCAAGUCCCGCCUCCGGCA